UACGUAAAAGACUAGUGUUAUUCAUUCUUGUCAAGUAGGUUUAAAGGGUACCUAGACUGUAAUACUAAGCCCAAAAGUAGGGUACCAAUAUUACUAGAGUUUUAUAUAAGAAGGGGAGUAUUUAUAGAGUAGAGAUGAAAUUUUUUGAUACUAUGAGGACUGAUAGUGCGAAAGCAAUCUUUAUGUAAUAACUGACGUUGAGGACGAAGCCAGGUAACGAACAGG
rnacentral:rRNA from 1 species